rfam:Gorilla gorilla gorilla genomic chromosome, chr4, whole genome shotgun sequence
GCCGGGCACGGUGGCUCACGCCUGUAAUCCCAGCACUUUGGGAGGCUGAGGUGGGUGGAUCACCUGAGGUCAGGAGUUCUAGACCAGCCUGGCCAACAUGGUGAAACCCCAUCUCAA